UUGAACUUCUUCCUUGCUUGAAUACAAUUCUACAGAGAAAAUUAGCAUGGAUCCCGCGCAAGGAUGAUACACACAAAUCGAGAAAUGGUCCAAAUUUUG